rnacentral:rRNA from 1 species
UACAGAGGGUGCGAGCGUUGUCCGGAAUCACUGGGCGUAAAGGGCGCGUAGGCGGCCUGGUAAGCGUGCGGUGAAAGCCCGGGGCUCAACCCCCGGGUCGGCCGUGCGAACUGCGAGGCUGGAGCACUGUAGAGGCAGGUGGAAUUCCGGGUGUAGCGGUGGAAUGCGUAGAGAUCCGGAAGAACACCGGUGGCGAAGGCGGCCUGCUGGGCAGUGGCUGACGCUGAGGCGCGACAGCGUGGGGAGCAAACAGG